AGAGUUUGAUCAUGGCUCAGAUUGAACGCUGGCGGCAUGCCUUACACAUGCAAGUCGAACGGUAACGGGCCUUCGGGUGCCGACGAGUGGCGAACGGGUGAGUAAUGCAUCGGAACGUACUUCAGUGGGGGAUAACGUAGCGAAAGUUACGCUAAUACCGCAUAUUCUGUGAGCAGGAAAGCAGGGGAUCGCAAGACCUUGCGCUGAUUGAGCGGCCGAUGUCAGAUUAGCUAGUUGGUGAGGUAAAGGCUCACCAAGGCGACGAUCUGUAGCGGGUCUGAGAGGAUGAUCCGCCACACUGGAACUGAGACACGGUCCAGACUCCUACGGGAGGCAGCAGUGGGGAAUUUUUGGACAAUGGGGGCAACCCUGAUCCAGCCAUGCCGCGUGAGUGAAGAAGGCCUUCGGGUUGUAAAGCUCUUUCGGCCGGGAAGAAAUCGCAUGGGUUAAUACCCUGUGCGGAUGACGGUACCGGCAUAAGAAGCACCGGCUAACUACGUG
rnacentral:rRNA from 1 species